rnacentral:rRNA from 1 species
AUUGAACGCUGGCGGCAUGCUUUACACAUGCAAGUCGAACGGUAACAGGCCGCAAGGUGCUGACGAGUGGCGAACGGGUGAGUAAUGCAUCGGAACGUGCCCAGUCGUGGGGGAUAACGCAGCGAAAGCUGCGCUAAUACCGCAUACGAUCUAUGGAUGAAAGCGGGGGACCGUAAGGCCUCGCGCGAUUGGAGCGGCCGAUGUCAGAUUAGGUAGUUGGUGGGGUAAAGGCUCACCAAGCCAACGAUCUGUAGCUGGUCUGAGAGGACGACCGGCCAGACUGGGACUGAGACACGGCCCAGACUCCUACGGGAGGCAGCAGUGGGGAAUAUUGGACAAUGGGCGCAAGCAUGAUCCAGCAAUGGCGCGUGCAGGAAGAAGGCCUUCGGGUUGUAACUGCUUUUGUACGGAACGAAACGGUCCUGGUUAAUACCUGGGGCUAAUGACGGUAUCGUAAGAAUAAGCACCGGCUAACUACGUGCCAGCCGCCGCGGUAACAC